CAUCGAGUUUGAGUGCUGUUGGGGCGAAUAAUCUCGGAGAUGAUUCAGUCUUACAUCUAAGGAGCAAAUAUGCCUUUUUGUUUUGUGCCUCAAUGCAGUCAUUCCAGCGCCAGGUCCCAGUCCAAGUGCUCCUUCUUCCGAUUGCCCCGGGACGAGGGGGAGUUGAAGAAAUGGACUACACUGAUGAGGAGACAAGAUGCAAAGCCCAAUGAGCAUUCAAGAGUGUGCUCUUGUCAUUUUAGGAAUGGCAAGAAAGAAGCUGGUCCAACCCUAUUUGCUUGGAAUGACUUCAAGAGAAGGUUAUCGGCCGUCGUCCAAACGGUGCGCGCGGGCCCUCAUCUUGUCCGACGGCGCACCCACUUCGCGACUGGCUCCGACCUCGCUUGGCGUUGGUACAAGAGCUGCCGGGAGUCGCCCUGCGUCCUCGUCGGGGAGCCGAGAUUCCGGGCGGGCCGACUCCAACGUUUCCACACGAUAUCGCUUUGAUAGCCAGAACGGCCUACGACGUUCCACGGCGCACGCCCACCCGGAGCUGGCGGCCGCCCUGCCGUGACGGUCGCACGCCGCUGUACCUGGCCGUACUGCAGCCCACCCGGAGCUGGCGGCCGCCCUGCCGUGACGGUCGCACGCCGCUGUACCUGGCCGUACUGCAGGGCUGGCGGCCGCCCUGCCGUGACGGUCGCACGCCGCUGCACCCGGCCGUACUGCAACCCACCCGGAGCUGGUGUCGCAGAUGCCAAGCUGCGAGAUGACGGGGGUUAUCGGCCGUCGUCCAAACGGUGCGCGCGGGCCCUCAUCUUGUCCGACGGCGCGCCCACUUCGCGACUGGCUCCGACCUCGCUUGGCGUUGGUACAAGAGCUGCCGGGAGUCGCCCUGCGUCCUCGUCGGGGAGCCGAGAUUCCGGGUGGGCCGACUCCAACGUUUCCACACGAUAUCGCUUUGAUAGCCAGGUUUCUUUCAAUGAUUAUUUCUGUAAUCGGUCACGAGGCGAAUCCUCGUUGAGCCUAAUUUGUUCUCCAGUGUGCCAAGUCUGGUUUGCUUUGUUGAUGACUUUGUGGUGUGAACGUGCCAAACCACAUGCUGUACUAUUAAAGGGUGUCAAAUAAAAAAACGAGUUAUGCUUAACAGCUAUAUAAACUA